rnacentral:lncRNA from 1 species
CAGAGCUAAAACGAGCCAUUUGGCCCUCUGGCCCUCGGUUGGAGACGGAGGCAAAUAUGGCCAUGUACUGUUCAUUAAAAUAUUAAUAUCUUGGAGAAUCUUGAAGGGCUAGAGGGCUCAAACGAACCCUCUGGCCAGCCUUCGGUUGGAGAUGGCCUUAGGUUCCAACACAUCGACUCAUAUUCACCUUCGUAAGUUUCUCUUUCGUGCUUGGUGGGGCCAAACAGGAUAGGGAUGACAAAGAACCCCCACGAAUUUGGGUAUUUGUUGAUACCCAAUCCUAACAGGGUGGUUAUGGUGGAUAGUACACGAGUACUGGACAGGUUCAAGGACUUUUUGAAAAAUCUGAGUCGCCAUGAUGGUAUUUUCAUUCUUGAUUAAUUCAAACUCGACCCGAUUAUAUAUGUAUAUGUAUAGUAAAUUGUUAUAAAUUAGUUACAUAGAAAAGUAUGUUGUUCCACUCUAACCUAAGUCUAAAAUUUCAGUCUUUAACCUAAGAGUAAUGCUAAGUAGACUAAAUUUGCAAACUAAAUGAUGUGUCACCAAUAAAAAAUAAGCAUGUUAAUCAACACUUAAGUAAUACUCUAAUUAUCAACUUCCAUGUUAUUUUAUUUACAAUAUUUUAUCUACAUAUUUAGUCUUUCUAGCAUUACUCUUAACCAUAAUAUGAUCCUCGACCUAAUGCAUCUAUAGUUACGUUGGAUGCCCAGGUAAUAAUUGAAACUUUUGAUUUUGAGAGCCCAAAUAUGAUAUACACGAUUCAUCUGACAAUUUUUGCUACAAAAACAACUUAAUCAUGAUUAGCAUUUUGUUUUGAUUAAUGUUAGAAAAUAAACACGUUAAUCAACACUAAUAAAUCAAUUAUCAACAACUAUGUUAUAUAGUUUACAAAAUAUGAUUUAAAUCAACAAUCUCAAACAUUACUUUUUUUAUACAAAAAAUAUUUCAUCAGACAUUAAUAGCAGAUUAAUCCACUUAUAUACAAUUCAACGUAAGUCGACUACAUACUUUUAAGAAGACUUUGUAAGAUGAAAGUUGGUCAUCAUAAGAAUUUAUAUUUCUUCUAAAAUCUGGUACGCUAGGAAUUGUAAACGAGCUGAAAAGGAUAUUUUCUGCAGAUUCAUCGGCUGUAGACACCAAAAUAUGCAAAAUGUUUUUUCUUUGGAAAAGUCCCCACAAGGUCAAUUGAAAAUAGAAGGACCCACCUCUCUCUCUCAAUUUGGUUUCACACUCUAACGUCCGUUCGAGGAAGGUGAGGGUGAGUCACUUGCAAUACUUUUUGUUAUUUUAUUUUUGUUAAAAGAUGAGAUUAUCCAAACAGUUGGAGCAUCCAAAAUCUAAAUGGCCCCAACUUCUUUGAUCCUUUUCUUAUUGCUUUUUAGGGUUUUUGAGUUGUAAUUCACUACAUUGUGAUGGAUCCACUUGUCAUCUCUUGUUCUCGUUCUCCCUAGCAUGAUUUUUAGGAUUAUUUUAAGAGUAUUGUUAUUCACAUACUUAUAAUUUUUCAGUUCAUUCGAUCCAAUGAUUGAAAAUUAAGAUAAGUGUGUGAAAAGUAAAAAUGGGUGCGUGAUCAUAACACUACCCUAUUUUAAGGUGGGUUUAAACUAAUUCUUGUUCUUAAUGCUCCAGACAUUCAUUAGUAGUUUGAUUACGUAUUGGAUGAUACAUUUUUAAUUGUACUCAACUGAACUCUUGAAGGAUUGCUUCGAUUUGCAUCCAAAAAAUUAGUAUCCACAUUUCAAUGUUUCAUAACUUUAGUUUAUCUACUUACCUUUGGAAAAAUUGAAGAAAAAAAUGUGUUAAAAAUUUAUCCAAAAUUCUAACCUUGGAAGAUGCUAGUGUAAAAGAGCUCAUUUUUUUCAGUUGAACAUUUCAUCGAGCAUUUAGUGUGCAUGUUGUCCUCUACCAAGCAAUAUUGUGUGCAUGUCGACAAAAGUCGACAUCUAUCAAGUGUUGUGAUAGGCAUUGUAGAUUUGUGAGUGACCUUGCUUUAGUUAUGUCGAGCACCCUGCAAAGUGAUGUCAAAAACACAUUUCAUCAAACACUUAGUGGCACAAAAAAAUCUCGUCCUAGAUAUUCAUAGGUCCCUUGAGGUCCUUCAACAGCCUUUUUUGGACCUAGUUUUGCAACACAAUUUGUAUAAUACACCUAGGGGACAAGUGUCAAUCAAAACAAGUUUCGGAGUCAAU